UACGGGGGGGGCAAGCGUUGUUCGGAAUUACUGGGCGUAAAGGGCUCGUAGGCGGCCAACUAAGUCGGAUGUGAAAUCCCCAGGCUCAACUUGGGAACUGCAUCCGAUACUGGAUGGCUUGAAUUCGGGAGAGGGAUGCAGAAUUCCAGGUGUAGCGGUGGAAUGCGCAGAUAUCAGGAGGAACACCAAUAGCGAAGGCAGCUCGCUGGGACGUUACUGACACUGAGGCGCGAAAGCGUGGGGAGCGAACAGG
rnacentral:rRNA from 1 species